GACGAACGCUGGCGGCGUGCUUAACACAUGCAAGUCGAACGGUAAGGCCCUUCGGGGUACACGAGUGGCGAACGGGUGAGUAACACGUGGGUGAUCUGCCCUGCACUUCGGGAUAAGCCUGGGAAACUGGGUCUAAUACCGGAUAGGACCACUGCCUGCAUGGGUGGUGGUGGAAAGCUUUUGCGGUGUGGGAUGGGCCCGCGGCCUAUCAGCUUGUUGGUGGGGUGAUGGCCUACCAAGGCGACGACGGGUAGCCGGCCUGAGAGGGUGACCGGCCACACUGGGACUGCGAUACGGCCCAGACUCCUACGGGAGGCAGCAGUGGGGAAUAUUGCACAAUGGGCGCAAGCCUGAUGCAGCGACGCCGCGUGAGGGAUGACGGCCUUCGGGUUGUAAACCUCUUUCAGCACCGACGAAGCGCAAGUGACGGUAGGUGCAGAAGAAGGACCGGCCAACUGCGUGCCAGCCGCCGCAGUAA
rnacentral:rRNA from 1 species